GGCCAGAACCAGGGAGAAGGUAGCUACUCGCUGUAUGUGGGCAGAGCCCCGCACAGCCUGCUGGCAGCCUAGUGGAACAGAACCCCAGACCAGCAGCGGGUGGAGCAGGCCAGCGGUGAAUCGCCGUGGCAAAAAGGCGAUGCGAGGGAAAAUGACUGCUAAAUUGACCGGCAUAAUUUAAAGUAGCAAGCACAAAGGGGAGACGCCCCAGUCGAGGAACAGAGACUGAGCCCACACUAUCAGUCACCGCUCCACUCUACAAUCCACUGCUCCCCACGGGUUUCGUCCCCGAGCUCGCCUGCCCGUGUGCUAUGAAGGGUGAGUGUUGGGCAGGAAGGAGAGAGAAGGGCUGAGGGGCCCCAUGGGUGGAGGGAGGAAUGGGGGUGCAGGUUGGGGAAUGUUGGACA